CGGAUUAUUGGGCGUAAGCGAGCGCAGGCGGUUUUUUAAGUCUGAUGUGAAAGCCUUCGGCUUAACCGGAGAAGUGCAUCGGAAACUGGGAGACUUGAGUGCAGAAGAGGACAGUGGAACUCCAUGUGUAGCGGUGGAAUGCGUAGAUAUAUGGAAGAACACCAGUGGCGAAGGCGGCUGUCUAGUCUGUAACUGACGCUGAGGCUCGAAAGCAUGGGUAGCGAACAGGAUUAGAUACCCUGGUAGUCCAUGCCGUAAACGAUGAGUGCUAAGUGUUGGAGGGUUUCCGCCCUUCAGUGCUGCAGCUAACGCAUUAAGCACUCCGCCUGGGGAGUACGACCGCAAGGUUGAAACUCAAAGGAAUUGACGGGGGCCCGCACAAGCGGUGGAGCAUGUGGUUUAAUUCGAAGCUACGCGAAGAACCUUACCAGGUCUUGACAUCUUCUGCCAAUCUUAGAGAUAAGACGUUCCCUUCGGGGACAGAAUGACAGGUGGUGCAUGGUUGUCGUCAGCUCGUGUCGUGAGAUGUUGGGUUAAGUCCCGCAACGAGCGCAACCCUUAUUAUCAGUUGCCAGCAUUCAGUUGGGCACUCUGGUGAGACUGCCGGUGACAAACCGGAGGAAGGUGGGGAUGACGUCAAAUCAUCAUGCCCCUUAUGACCUGGGCUACACACGUGCUACAAUGGACGGUACAACGAGUCGCGAAGUCGUGAGGCUAAGCUAAUCUCUUAAAGCCGUUCUCAGUUCGGAUUGUAGGCUGCAACUCGCCUACAUGAAGUUGGAAUCGCUAGUAAUCGCGGAUCAGCAUGCCGCGGUGAAUACGUUCCCGGGCCUUGUACACACCGCCCGUCACACCAUGAGAGUUUGUAACACCCAAAGCCGGUGAGAUAACCUUCGGGAGUCAGCCGUCUAA
rnacentral:rRNA from 2 species